rnacentral:rRNA from 1 species
UAGUCCACACCGUAAACGAUGAAUGCCAGUCGUCGGGCAGUAUACUGUUCGGUGACACACCUAACGGAUUAAGCAUUCCGCCUGGGGAGUACGGUCGCAAGAUUAAAACUCAAAGGAAUAGACGGGGACCCACACAAGCGGUGGAUUAUGGGGUUUAAUUCGUCAAUAAGCGAGUAACCUUACCCAGACUUGACAUCCUAUUCGUACCUUUUAGAAAUAAUUGGGUCGGUUCGGCCGGAAUAGUGACAGGCGUUGCAUGGUUGCCGUCAGCUCGUGCCUUGAGGUGUUCGGUUAAGUCCGUUAACGAGCGCAACCCUCGUCGUAUGUUGUAUUUUCAUGCGAGACUGCCCGUUACAAACGGGAGGAAGGUGAGGAUGACGUCAAAUCAGCAUGACCCUUAUGUCUGGGGCUACACCCGUAAUACAAUGGUCUGUACAAACUGAAACGAAGCCGUAAGGUGGAGCGAAAUCAGAAAAAACAGAUCUCAGUUCGGAUUGAAGUCUGCAACUCGACUUCAUGAAGUUGGAAUCGCUA